UCCGAGGAAAAAUAAGUCCUAGGAGGGAAAAACCCUUGGGAGAACGGAAAUGGAGAUUUAGCGGAGAUUAAGCGGUUCUGCCGGUGAUCGUUGGUCAGGUAUCAGCUGGGCAUAACGUUGAAGGACAGCCAGUAGAUCAGAGGUGUGCCGACUUUCACAUCUACCGGGACUGGGUCUGUUUGUCUCGUCCUCGGGUCGAGGACGAGACAGGGAGAGAAAAACAAAAUCGUAUUAGCGUAGCGGCCGUUCAUAUGUAUUGAAGUGUCACACAGUGAUGUGGUUUAACUCAGCUUAGUUCCAGACAGACUAAAUAUUGCGGCAUAAUUAUGUUAUCCACAGUUGAGGAUUUAGCAAAUUGGGGGCCCAAUGCGAGGGUAUAUAUGGUAAAUAAGGGUCACCUUCCGAUCUUUAAGAGAAAAUGAAACCUGACGACCCGUUUGACUAAGGCCUAAAGCCCCACUGUCGUCGUUAAUACAGGUUCAGUGGCAAACGGGUCUAUAUUGUAUACCAUUUACAGGACCAGGAGAAAACGCCAAAAACAUCGCAACCCGACCAUACGUGUUAACCCGUUUGACUAAGGCCGGAAGCCCCACUGUCGUCGUUAAUGCAUGUUCAGUGGCAAACGGGUCUGUAUGGCAUACUAUUCACAAGACACACGAAAGCGCGAAAAACGCAACCCGACCAUACAUACCAACCCGUUUGACUAAGGCUGGAGGCCCCACUGUCGUCGUUAAUGCAGGUUCAGUGGCAAACGGGUCUGUAUGGCAUACUAUUCAUAAGACUUACGAUAGCGCCAAA